CCUGGCCUUCACCCCGGCAAAGCUCUCAUGAGGAUCAGGUGAAACCAUGUGUGUGGGAACCCUUUUAAAACUGCAAAGAGCUGCAUACACAUCUGAGGGCUUUAGGUUCGCAGAUGCAAUCGGAAGGCGCCGGCGCUGCUAGGCAUUGAGCUUCCAGGGGGCACUUGGUGGAGAGCCCGGCACUCUCCUCCCUAACGAACCAGUUCGCAUUUCCCUCCUGGCCUCUCCUUUUCAGGGCCCCUAAGGAGUGAUCUUCACAGAGAAAGCCAGUCUGUUUAAACGAUAUUGGAAGUUCUGAAUACCACCAGGUCUAUUUUUUAAGUCUGAGUUUACAUUUAAAUCAGGAGCAUUUGUCCAGGUCAGUAAUUUUUCAGCCCAGCUCCUCCAGAGGGGGCGUGUCCAUUACCAGUGAGAAUUUGAAACCUUCCUGACGCCAGGAGGCUGAGGUUUUCCUGCACUGGCCUCCACUUGUGUGUGGAAGGGCAGGGGCGGGGCGGCAGGGAGGCAGGAAGAGGGGUACAGAGGGAGAAGGGUGGGAGAGAAAGGUCAAGGAAGCACAGUCAUAAAUAGAAGUGUCUUUUGCCUUCAAGAUAUUUCAGGUCACACGGAGAAAGGAAAUUCACUCUUAAGAAAUAACAAAGAAACAAAAGACUGAAGUCGGUUCAGAAGUGCUGACAUAAAGACCGGUUUGGAGGGCAGUAAAAUUAAUCAGGAUUGCCUCCUGGGAGUAGGUGCGUCAGCACAAGGUCCUGAAAGCAACCAGGGGAGAAAGGAGCUCCUGGUUUGGGGAUCAUAAAUCCCUUUUCGAGAACAACCAAACUCCAGUAUGAGUAUUUAAGCUCCUUGUCAUCUAAGCUGGGUCUGGGGUCAGGAGCUUGGAUUCUGGUCCUCAUUCCAGCGUCCAGCUCAUCACAGGCCCUGAGCAAAUUCUUUACUCAUCUCCUUGUGCAGGAACAGCUGAAAAGUACUUUGGGAAAACUAGUUUUAACUAUUACUCCCAAACCUUAAUUAGAACUGUAUAAUUCUUUAUCUUUUGUGAAAUGAGUUUUAAGCCAGAACAACCGUUGUAAUUAUUAGAAACAUUUUAAAUAAUUGUCAGUAAUAAUCUUCAUUAAUCAUAAAAAGGGAAACACAUCUAUUAAUCUUUCGAAGCACAGUUCUCUGAUCUUUUGCCAGGCGUAUGAUUCACUCUUUUCUGCCUUAUUUUGUGACAGAAUGUGGUCUGUAUGGGCCCCCACUCAAUAUCAACACAGGACGCCUUCCAAAACAAUGCAAGAAUGUAGGUUCAAGACUGUUUAACGCCCCAGCAAGCACUCAUUAGUGGCAUUCAAGGCAAGUUUUUUAAAAAAGCGGGGGCGGGCACAGGCUGCUGGGGGUUAAUAACUUAGUACUGUGCUUGCCACCGCCCAGUUGUUGCUGGUUUGUGGCAAUCACAGCUGCAUUGUGUCACACCACUGAUUAAUUCCCAGGAACUGCUAAGGGCUGACCUUUUCAGAUGACUGACCUGACUAAAGAAAUCAAACCCAUUUGAGGUCAUGUCUGUGGGCACAGCAAGCUGACUUGCUUGCAUUCUGCCAUGCCUUCUCGAGUGGGUGAAAAACAAUUGGAAUUUCAGUGAGGAACUGGAUGUAAUAUAUGCAGUGGCUCAGAUCUACUCAGCUGCAACCCAGGAUAAUCAGCAAGUAAUACAGAGAGCUGCUUCCUUCAACAGCUGCAUUCAGCACAAAACCGAGGGCCAAUGCUGUGGAGAAAUAAUCCUUCAGCGGUAAGGCAUCAGUGAUCUUUUCCAUGCAUUCCAAAUACUGUAUUGAUCCAAAUUGGAGCAGCAUCAUUCUCUACAACUGUACUGGCAACAGACAGCCACAAAUGAACUAUUUAAUAUGGCAAAAAGCACAGUUAUCUGAGGCUUCUAUUAUUAGCACCAGUUCUCGACUCACUGGGAAAACUCUUCUUCCACUUGUUAAUGCGACAAUGGAACAUUUGUUUGGACACAGCUUUCCAUCAUCGUUCUUCCCACCCCGAACUUCCCUUUACCCCCCAGUUGUCUCCAGACGGAGGUGUUUCCAGCUGGCCGCAGUUCAGCGGAUCUCCAGUCCGUCUGCCCGUGAGAGUCCCAGGAAAGCUGCCAUCUCCAGCGUGUCCAUGCUAACUAAGCCGCCCGGGCUUUGCUCUGGACUCCUACGGAGUCCCUACAGGUAAGGUCUUCCCUGCUCCACCCAGGGAGCGGCCCCUCUCAUACUGCAGAAUGCUCGAAGUCCACAAAUGUUCAUUCUUCCCUUCCUUACUAGUAGAACUAACGCAGUUAAGGCUGAGCUCAUGGUAGGCAACCUCAAAAUCUCAGUGGCUUAUCAAAAAAGUCAUUUAUUUUUCUUGCAGGCCAGUGGAGGCAGCUCUGCUUCAAGUUAUGAGCUGAGUCAGGGCUGCUUUACUUGUCUCUCAUCCUCUGGACCAGUGACCACUUGGGGUGGCAACAGGGCCAGUGGAUGAGCAGAGACACAAGGGGCCUUGUAAGGCCUCAACUCAGAACUAACAAACUCGCUUCUGACCACAUUCCAUUGUCCAAAGCCCUGCAUGAGCUGUAGAAAAGUAUUCUCCACUUUGGUGAACAUUACUAAGAGAAAAGAGGGAAGGAAGAAUUGCAGGCAAGUAAUACCACGUGCCUUAGAUUCCUAUGCAGCUUGGUGUGUACUUGCACCUAAGUUCUGGCCUGUAGGACAUGAGGGGAAGUGAGGGGUACAACUCCAGGCCCUGCCCUUGUAAAGACUAGGCCCUGCCUUUCCCUGUCCGUCUGCUGGGGACGUGGUAGGACUGCAGCAGUUGCCUGGCCCAGACAGAGAUGGCACAGCUAUCCUGCUGAUCCCACCUCUAGACUGCCACGUGUACCUCACUUAUACUGCGUGGGUUUUGCAUCUCAGCUAUGGCAUCUUAAAACCCAAACUAGCACACCAUUCAUUCAUUCAUUCAUUCCCCCAUUCAACAAGUAUGUACUGAGUGUCUUUGUGCCAGGCACUAGGUUUUGGAGAGAUGACAGUGAACAAAAACAAACUUGGCUGUUCUGUAUCUUGGCUGUGGCGGUGGUUACACAAGCCUACACAUGUGAUAAAACUGCAUAGAACUAAAUACACACACAGAGAGGAAUGCCAGUCAAACUGGGAAUUAAAGAAUCAAAAAGUCACUGGUGAUUCAACAUGGCAGCAGUCCAGCUUCAACCAUACAGAUGACAGCAGUGUGCUGAAGUAUGGCAAAGCAAUGAUUUAAAAGAAAUUGAGGCAGAGCUGCCAGUCAGGUAUGCUCACCUUGGACUUUGAAGCAAGACAAACAUAAAGGUCUUUGUUCU